UACGGAGGGUGCAAGCGUUAAUCGGAAUUACUGGGCGUAAAGCGCGUGUAGGUGGCUUGACAAGCUGGUUGUGAAAGCCCCGGGCUCAACCUGGGAACGGCAUUCGGAACUGUCAAGCUAGAGUGCAGGAGAGGAAGGUAGAAUUCCCGGUGUAGCGGUGAAAUGCGUAGAGAUCGGGAGGAAUACCAGUGGCGAAGGCGGCCUUCUGGACAGACACUGACACUGAGGUGCGAAAGCGUGGGGAGCAAACAGG
rnacentral:misc_RNA from 1 species